ACUUUGACAGAAGGCGUGCUCAAAGCUCAAACCAUGACCGGCGAAAACACUUUUUCUCCGAGCGACCAGGUCUUCUCAGCAAACUCUAACCUCCAUAUCACUAUACAAGAAGGUUCUCAAAGCAGCGAGCAACUGCUGGAGAAUGAAAACAAUGACCUUGAAAAUGACUGCGAGCAAUUAUUUGAGAUUGAAGGCAAUGAGCCUCAAAGUGAAAGAGAUGAUACAAGUGAUCAAUUGUUUGACAUUCAAAGUAAUGACCAUGAAAACGACGGAGGUGAUAUAAAUGAGCAUCUGUUUGAAAUUGAAGGCAAUGACCAUGAAAGUAGCAGGGAUGAUAGAACAAUAAUUGAUUAUCAAAAUGGUGGAUCUCAAGAAAAGGCCUAUCCCCCACCAGUUGUGGGUUUGGAGUUUGAUUCAUAUGAUGAUGCUUACAAUUAUUAUAAUUGUUAUGCUAAGGAACUUGGAUUUGCUAUCAGGGUGAAAUCCUCAUGGACAAAGCGUAACAGCAAGGAGAAGCGUGGUGCAGUGCUCUGUUGCAAUUGUGAGGGUUUUAAAACAAUUAAAGAAGCAAACAGCCGCAAGAAAGAAACAAGAACAGGCUGUCUAGCAAUGAUAAGGUUGAGAUUAGUAGAAUCUAACAGAUGGAGAGUGGAUGAAGUCAAGCUUGAACACAACCAUUUAUUUGAUCCUGAAAGAGCUCAGAACUCCAAGUCGCACAAGAGGAUGGACUCAGGAGCUAAAAGAAAGAUGGAGCCAACCGUUGAUGUUGAAGUACGCACAAUCAAGUUAUAUCGGACACCUGUCGUAGAUGCAGUUGGUUAUGGAAGCUCAAACUCAAACGAGGGAGAAACUAACAACCAUGUUGAUCGGUCCAAGCGAUUGAAACUCAAAAAUGGAGAUGCAAGAGCAAUUUAUAAGUAUUUUUGCCGGGUUCAGCUAACCGAUCCUAAUUUUUUCUAUGUGAUCGAUCUCAAUGAUGAAGGGUAUUUGAGGAAUGUGUUUUGGAUUGAUUCCAGGUCUAGGGCAGCGUACACUUACUUUGGUGACGUGGUUUCAUUUGAGACUACAUGCUUGUCAAACAAUUAUGCGAUUCCACUUGUUGUGUUUGUUGGAGUAAAUCACCAUGGACAAACUAUCUUGCUUGGUUGUGGUUUGCUAGCCGAUGAGACCCUAGAAACAUAUAUAUGGUUAUUUAGGGCAUGGCUUACGUGUAUGUCUGGUCGCCCUCCACAAACUAUCAUCACAAACCAGUGCAAGGCCAUGCAAAGUGCUCUAGCAGAGGUAUUUCCUAGGGCUCAUCAUCGUCUUUCUUCUUCACAUGUCAUGCAAAGUAUUCUUGAGAAUAUGGGAGCAAUACAAGAAUAUGAGGCAUUUCAAAUGAUUUUGAGUAGGACUGUAUAUGACUCAAUAAAAGUAGAUGAGUUUGAAUUGGCUUGGGAGCAUAUGAUUCAGAGAUUUGGAAUAAGGGAUCAUGAGUUUAUUCAAACUUUGUAUGAUGAUCGAGAGCGAUGGGUUCCAGUUUACUCAAAAGACACAGUUUUUGCUGUAAUGCCCAAUUUUCAGAAAGGUGAGUCCACAAACCCAUUUUUCGAUGGUUAUGUGCAUCAACAAACUUCGUUGGAAGAGUUUCUUGAUGUUUAUCAUGUAGUUUUAGAAAAGAAGCGUCAGGAAGAAGCUCGUAAUGAUUUUGAGUCGAGAGAAUUGACUCCAAUGUUAAGAACAAGAUGCUAUUACGAGUUGCAACUCUCUAAGUUUUACACAAAAGAUGUAUUCAUAAAGUUUCAAGAUGAGGUUGUGUUGAUGUCUUCUUGCUUUAGCAUAACUCAAGUUCACACAAAUGGACCAAUUGUGACAUACAUGAUCAAAGAACGUGAAGGGGAGGAAAUUAUGAGGGAUAAUAAUAGGAACUUUGAAGUUAUGUAUGACAAAGCAGGAGCAGAAGUUCGUUGUAUGUGCAGUUGCUUUAAUUUAAAUGGCUACCUAUGCCGACACGCCUUACGCAUCCUGAACUAUAAUGGUGUGGAAGAAAUACCGUUUCAGUAUAUCUUGUCGAGAUGGAGAAAAGACUUUAAGCGGUUGUAUGUACCAGAUCUUGGGAGCAAUAAUGUUGAUAUCACAAACCCAGUUCAGUGGUUUGAUCAUUUGUAUAGAAGAGCGAUGCAAGUUGUUCAGGAAGGGAUGAUUUCUCAGGAUCACUAUAUGGUAUCUUGGCAAGCAUUUAAAGAGUCUUUGAAUAAGGUCCGUCUAGUAGCAGAUAAGAAUGUAUAGUUUAUAACAAUGUGUAUCUGAAGCCUUCCAUCGUUCAUGCUGGAGAGAUGAUAUGGUGGUAUUAAUCAAUACCCAGGAAAAACAAGAGAGAAAAAGACCGGCGAUCUACUGCAUGAAUAGAUGGGUAGAACCAAGGAAGACAACUGAAUACCGGGAAUUCAGAGAGAAGGAUCAGCAGAGAAAUUUCAGGUGUUUCUGGCACGUGCAAGAAGGUGAAAGUUGUCAUUGAACAGUAUAGAAGGUUAAGAUCUACCCCAGGGUGCAGAAUGUUUGUAGGUUAGACACAUUUGUUUCUUUCUUUAUAGUUUACAUUGGAAGGGAUCAAACCCUUGCCUACCAUAACAGGCUUGGCAGAAUCAGCGGGAAAAGAAAACCCUGUUGAGCUUGACUCUAAUCCGACUUUAUGAAAUGACUUAAGAGGUGUAGUAUAAGCAGGACCUUCGGAAUCCUAAUCCAUUUCCAUACCCUCCCUCUCCACUUGGGCUAACCCCAAGGGGUUCUAGACAUUUGUUUCUUCAAGCUAGUUGAGCUGAUAUUGUACUCUCUUAGCUUUUUCCAUUGUAAUGUAAAAGAUUGUAUAGUCAUUUAGUGAUUUAGCAUCCUUGGCUCUUGGACG